UAAUUUUUUUUUAAUAUAAAAGAUGCAAACAUAUGAGAAAGUAACAUUAAAUUUCUUAAAAUGUGGAGAAAUUAAAACAUUAUGGGGUUGAAGGAAAAGGAAAUGUUUACUUAAAUUGUGAUUUCUGUGAUUAUAUUGUUUUGCAAUUAGAUAUUUUUGUAAUUCAUGUAAACACUAAACAUAAAAGAAAUUGAAGAUCCUUUGCAAGCACACAUUCAUGUUGAUGACGAAAUAUCAACUUUUAUAACGGAUGAUUGAGUACAAGCAUUUCUAUAGAAGGUGACCAUAGUUCAGAAAAUUAUGGUACUGAGAGCAUUGUGGAAUUUAAGAAUUACAUCUGGGUUUGAACAAAAAUCGAAAAAAAAACGCGAGGAAGAUUUAAAAGAUAUUACAACCAAUGUUAAUCGCGCCUGUCAAUCAAACUUUGACUGGAAAAUGAUAAGUUUCCAAAUACGAAAUAUGCGCUGUGAGAUUCGAGCCAAAAUUUAGCGGAAUCUAGAAGAAAAAUUCAUAAUCGUCCUUGGUACUUUGACAAGGUGCCAUUCUGACAUAACAGUAUUCACCAUAAGAAUUGUAGAAAUUGAGUACCUAAAAUUAUUUCCAAUGAAAAACCGGUUCUGCCUUUUUCCGAUAUCAGGGAUGAAUAGAACUUGGUCUUAAUCCAAAUAUAUAGUAGUUUUCCGAACCUUUGGAAAACCCAACAUAUUAACCAUUGCUUUAGGAACCGACGACUAAAAUCUAUUAUGAAAAUGCAGGAUAUUUUGAAAGCAAAAAUAGGUUUAGGUUUUUCGUUGGAUGAAUUGCAGAAAAGAAUACAU